ACUAGGGCGUGGACAGAAGUAUAAGAGGCCGGUCCUGCAGCACAAUUGGGGGAGAGCCUGCAAUGGAGGAGGAUGCUUAGCCUGUUCUCCAAAGGCCCCGAGCAGAGCCGGCACCUGGCUGUUCCCGAUCCCCAGACGUGGACGAUGACUGGCCCGGAGUACCUGCUUCAGUUUACCCCGAAGAGCCGGAAGAGGCCUGGAGGCUGCAGCCCUAUUGGGGCUUUUUCCUGUCUUACAGACUCUGGUCCUGACCAACCAGGACUAGCCUGAGUGGCCUCCCUCCGACCGGGAGAGUGAGGGAGCAUUACAAAAACCGUCAGAGAGGCAAAUACAAACAAUCAAAAUCACUUGAAGGUAAAAACUGAACAUUACAACAAAACAGGAGUUUGCCCUGUCUGUGAACAGAAACAAAAGACAAUUUCAGUAUAACACAGAGCAGGGAGAAGUCUUCUCUGGAUCCAUUCACCGAGAAAAACCCUUGUGGAGCAGGGGUGCUUUCAUGAUGGUUUGAGUCCUGGUUCUUUUGGAUCCUGGCAACCUAGCCAGUUCGCAACAGAUGAACCUUUGGGGGAAAAUCUUACUUUAUUUGACAGGAAAGGAGUCCCACCAUGUCUACUCCUGUUUGCUCAAAAGGAUCAUCUGAGUGGAAAGGGCACUAAUGGGGCUUUGACACUACUUUGGAAGACACUAAUGUGAGUCAGGAGGCACAUAAGUUGGCUUCUUGUCUGUAUAUUCCCAGCCA